GCAGGUCUUAAUAUUGCCAUGUUUGCAGACCUCUGCUCCAUGCACUUGGGGAUCCCCAAAUGGAAACACAGAGGUCAGCUAAACAGAAACAACAAAACUAAUACAACCAGAUUGACGUGCUGCAAUCAAUAAUAUCAAUGACAACAGUGAAGCUGAAAACUUACACAACUCUACUCUGCACUUCAAUGAACUCAGGGUUUUCCUGAAUUAAUGAAAAAAAUCUAAAGGAAUUAUACAGCAAGGAUUCAAACUGCUGCAAUUUCAAAAUACAAGCUUUGAUUUCAAAUCCUGCAGAUUGCUCCACUUCACUGAUGAUCGAAGAAUUGACAGGAAGCAUUCUACAGAAACGAUUGCCACACUUUUUAGACUAAUACUCUGAAGCAAAAGGAGCAAAGGACUUGUACAAAAUGUAGACAAAGGCAAUACUGAGCAAGCUUUUUAUACUUCCUUUCUGGUGUUACUGCUAAUUUCCCUCAGCUUCUUUUUUGCUAUAUUGACUUCAACAUGUCUAUGAUAUUUUCGCAUGGUCUUUGCUUCCAUUUCUACGAAAUCUUGGGCAGUAGUUGCCUAUAGGUCUAUCCUUAAAAAAAAUCAGUACAGAUCUCCUUGACUGCAAAACAAAAAAAAGCCAUGACAAAACAGAAUAAAGCAUAUUUAUCUAGCAUUAGUUCUAAAUGGCAAAGGUGCUGAGACAAAUUCCAAAUUAGAAGAGCAAUAAUAUCAUUUUGCAUAUCCAAAUGUAUUGCUUGUUUUUAAUGAAUUCUACUUUGCUUUUGGUUUGUUUCUAAAAUGAAAAAGCAAGAAAGCUUUCUUUUAUUUUUAUUCCAUUUUAUUCCUUAUUUUUAAAAUACAAAUAUCAAAAUUGGACCUAUUUUGCAAUACUUAAGUUUGCAAUUUUAUACAGACACAAGCUAUUUUUCAUUUCUUUCUCCUUUUGAGAACGCACUGACGCAUCGCUAUACACUGAUCCUAUAUAACCAGUAGAGAGCUAUUUAGCACAGUUAACUGUCAUAUAAAAUCUGGAGAAUCUCAGGUUUAAAACAAGCUGUUUGCAUGGUUAUUUUCCAUCACAAUAGAGUCCAGAUUUUUCUUCAUAAAUUGUUGUGGUCAUUAAGCAAGCCACUACUUACCUAAUUCAAUUUUAUAACCAUUUUUACAAGUCACAAAGCGAGUCACUGCAG